AACGCACGAGACCUGCGGACCUGCGGAGGGAUCAUUAUUGGUUGGCCGAGAGGCCUUGUCAAAUGCCCCAACACCUCUGUGAACCGUUUGGCCCCUGGGCCGUUUUAUGCGCAAACACUGUGUAAUGAACGUCUUGUUACCUUAAAGCAAAACUUUCAACAACGGAUCUCU
rnacentral:misc_RNA from 1 species